CAGAUUCUGAAAAUAAUUGAUACAACUAGAUGUGUGAAUAUAUAUUUUUAAAACACCCUAUAGGGGACAUAACUCUACACAACCUUUUUUAGUUUAAAUGUCAAAAUAAAAGUUGUUCAACCCCAAUCACCAUUAUCAUGACCUCUGCUAUUGAAACAAGAUAAUGUUUAAAAACAGAAACAUGUCUAUGAUCUAUUAAGUUUUUUUAACAAACCUUUUAUGAACUGACAUUGUUGAAAUGGUUCUAUGUUGCUGUUUUUUUCAGUAUUAUAUUUGAAUUACAGUCAAAAUUUGUUCUCAUGAAGUUAUUAUUGUAAAUAGAAGCCAGAUGACCAAUGAAGGCUCCAUAGAGGUGUAAUAUAUCAUAUCCAUUUUAUGUUUUUAUUUUACUUCUUGUAUAUUUUUGAAUACAGUAUAGAGUAUAGAUUUAUUGUAUAAUGUCAUAAUGUAUUAUGAUUUUGUAUAAUUCAUCACAUAUGUUAUUAUGAAUGGUGCUUUAAAUAUUGUUUAUGACACAAAGUCUUUCAGUUGUAAAAUAAUGCUUUUGAUUGUAUAUUUUUGUGCUGUCUCAGUUGUGUUUGUUUAUCAUGUGCCAUACAUGUACAUGGUGCAUAUAUUUUUUUUCAUCUCAGGAAAAAGCGAUUUGAAUUUUGUUUGAGAAUACGCUGCACGAAAGUUGUCUGAAUUUUCUAGAUUUUUACCUUUUUUUGCCACUAGAUGUCCCUUUAGAAAAUGUUGAAAAAAGUAUAAGUGGAAAUGACAUGAAUUAAUUAAGUACCAGUAGCCCUUUUCACAAAAAAAACUUAAGUGUAAAAUUUAUUCUAAGUCUAAAAUAUUCCUUAACAAUUCAACUAAAUAUUUUUAUCGUAAGAUUAACUUUACACUUAAGAUUUUUUGUGAAAAGGGCUACUGGUAUUUCUAUAAAAAUACAACAGAUGGUAGCCAAAAUUACACACAAUUUCAUUUAGUACAUGUAGUAUGCAAUUUUAUUAAUAAAAGUGUAUUUUUAACUAAAUUUUUCUGAUUGUUCAUAUGACUUUUAUUUCAGUUGCUAUUAAAAAACCUAUUUCAAAUGCUAGUAAAAAUCAAAUAUAUUUAUUGUAGGUUUACAUGUGUAUAAAGGUAUAUAAUCCAGAUUCAACAUGUAAAAGGGGUUACUUACUUCAAUAUACAGAGAGUAUUGUUUCUGGGGAUUCUUUUGUGAGUUUACUCAUAGUUCUAAUUUAUAUAUAAUGUUAAGUGAACUCAAGAUUAUACUGGUCUUUUGAUGUAUUGAUGAUAUCUGUUAGGGCAGCAAAAUAUUUCUUUAACUUUGAAUAAAAUGCUCAUCUGUCAAUGUAAUUAUGAUAUUUUUUGGACACUGCUAAAUAUUUGUUUAACUCAGGGUAAUGUUUGUCUUUCAGAAUAUGUUUAUAUAUAUUUUUAUUAUACUGUUUAGUAAUCUAAAUAACUUUAGUCUUUCAGUUUCUUUGUUUGUAUGUUUAUCAGAAGAGUAUACAUAUGAUA
rnacentral:lncRNA from 1 species